AGGGUGUCAAAUUGUACUGGUUUGUCUGGGACUGAGGAGUUUCCCAGGAUGCAGGCCUUUUAAGUGCUAAAGCCAGGACAAUC
rnacentral:miRNA from 1 species